rnacentral:rRNA from 1 species
GUGCACCAGGCGAGAAACCUCCGCAAUACACGAAAGUGUGACGGGGCCAUCCCGAGUGCCGUCCGCUGAGGACGGCUUUUCCCCAGUGUACACAGCUGGGGGAAUAAGGAGAGGGCAAGCCUGGUGUCAGCCGCCGCGGUAAUACCAGCUCUCCGAGUGGUGGGGACGCUUAUUGGGCCUAAAGCAUCCGUAGCCGGCUGGGCAAGUCCUCCGUUAAAUCCAACGAUUCAAUCGUUGGGCUGCGGGGGAUACUGUCCAGACUUGGGGGCGGGAGAGGCCGACGGUAAUUCCCGGGGUAGGGGUGAAAUCC